AAGUGGGAAAUAUGAUGGUCUCCAUGUUGCUUGGUGUGGACGUCGAUGGAAGAUUAAAUGAAGUUCGACCGUUUUCCUGUUGUACAGGGACUUGAACCCAACACCAUGCUAUCAAUUGCUUACCUUGUAAAACAACCAACAGCCUUCCAUAUCAAUACAAACAUAAUCAAGGUUGGAAUCCCCUUCGUAUCCACCAACAUAAAAUAAACUUCCGUUUUCAAUCUGUGGAUAUAAUGUAGUGUCCCAUGGCAUGCCUCGUUGUAGCACCUCACCCAUAUAAACUUUGAGCAUUACCCACGUACCCACCUUGAGUUGCAAGCGAAGAACU